AGCAGCCGCGGUAAUUCCAGCUCCAAUAGCGUAUAUUAAAGUUGUUGCAGUUAAAAAGCUCGUAGUUGAAUUUCGGGAUUUGUCAGUUGGUCGGGCUUCACUGUCCGUACUGGCUUGAUGGAUUCUUACCUUCUGAAUAACCAGCAUGCUAUUAAGUUAGUGCGUUGGGGAAGCAGAUCUAUUACCUUGAAAAAAUUAGAGUGCUUAAAGCGGGCUUGUGCUUGAAUAGAUUAGCAUGGAAUAAUAAAAUAGGACGGCAUGGUUCUAUUUUGUUGGUUUCUAGGAUCACCGUAAUGAUUAAUAGGGAUAGUUGGGGGCAUUAGUAUUCAAUUGUCAGAGGUGAAAUUCUUGGAUUUAUUGAAGACUAACUUCUGCGAAAGCAUUUGCCAAGGAUGUUUUCAUUAAUCAGGAACGAAAGUUAGGGGAUCGAAGACGAUCAGAUACCGUCGU
rnacentral:rRNA from 1 species